rnacentral:rRNA from 1 species
UACAGGGGGUGCAAACGUUGCUCGGAAUCAUUGGGCGUAAAGCGCACGUAGGCGGUCUGUUAUGUCGGAUGCGAAAGCCCUUGGCUCAACUGAGGAAGUGCAUCCGAAACUGGCAGGCUAGAGUACUAAAGAGGAUCGCGGAAUUCCCGGUGUAGAGGUGAAAUUCGUAGAUAUCGGGAGGAACACCGGUGGCGAAGGCGGCGAUCUGGGUAGAUACUGACGCUGAGGUGCGAAAGCGUGGGGAGCAAACAGG